rnacentral:tRNA from 1 species
CGGGCGCGGAAUGGCUGCAAGAGUCUUCAUACCAAGACCAUGCACUUGACUGGGGGUCAAGGGGUCGCAGGUUCAAAUCCUGUCGUCCCGA